CACCGCGGUUAUACGAGAGGCCCAAGUUGACAAAAAUCGGCGUAAAGAGUGGUUAGUAGAUUAUAAACUAAAGCCAAACACCUUCAAGGCCGUCAUACGUACCCGAAGGCAGGAAGAACCCUAACGAAAGUGGCUUUAAUCAAGUAUGAACCCACGAAAGCUAAGACA
rnacentral:rRNA from 1 species